UCUGUCAAUACAAAAGGAAAGAACACCUGUAAUGCCAGUAAUGCAUAUAAACACCAUUAACAAAGUGAAAUUUGAAAACUUGGACCAUCUCAAGGAAGUAAUAACCAUGAAGCCUGUUGACAGCCUUCUUUCCCCUUUCCUCCCAGGCAGUAACAAACAGGACAGCCCAGUGAACAAAGGGAAGAUCCCUCCUGUCUGUUCAAAAGACUUUGAGAGUUCUCCCAGUAGGGUGUGAAACUUCCCAUGUUUGAGCACAAGCCAGAGACAGCUGCUAAGUGCUCUGAAACUGCUAGAGAGAAAAAUCUCACCCUUUUCAACUCCAUUAAGCAACCUGGGACACCAGGAAAGACAGCUCUAGAGAGACAGGAGCCUGUUUGCACACCAGACAUGAAAUCCCAUCCAUUUGCCCAUGGUGACAUUUCUCAUGGGAUUGUUCUUGACAAUAAGCACAGUUGUUCCUACUAAUGGACAAUCAAGCUCAUGCCAGACCUCAUGCAGGCUUCAGGUCACAAAGCAGAGGAGCUGAGACUUGUCUGCUAGCACCUGAGAAGGGCAAUAAAACUCUCCAGGAACAGAGAGGCAGGACAGUCCAAGGUUCCAAUCACAGAGCUACUGGAUACAUACCUACAGGAGGAUCUGAAAGCAGACCCUCCCCAACAAUCUCAACAGGCUGUGCCCUGACCCUGCAGGCUACUUCGGAAGUGAGAGGAGUCAAAAAGAAGGUUAAUGUAUGCCUGACUUGAAAACAGAGACUACAUCUACCAUAGACCAGACGCUGAUUGAAGGAAAAGGACUGUUUUGUCAAAAUUUAGGAGGCAUGAAAGCCAGCCUCCAGGUAUUUCAAGAUGAAAAAAUAGAAUUUUUUUUUUCCUGUGGUCAGUGUCUUAGUUUCAGCUGGGACAGAAUUGUUUUCUUCAGAGUGCAGGGUAUGAUGCUGUUUUGAUUAGAAGGAAAACAAUGUUCAUAACACACCAAUGUUUAUAGUUGUUGCUGAGCAGUGUUGUACAGAGUCAAGGCCAUUCCAGUUUCUCAGUGAAGGGCUUGUGUGGGGGCGAAGGAUCUGGGAGGGGACAGAAUCAAGACAGCUGACUUAAACUGGCCAAAAAGAUAUUCCAUACCAUACAACCUUAAGCAGAAGGAGAGUUUUGAAGGGGUAGGAGUUCAUCUAGCCCUCUUCUGCUCCUUGGGGAGCUAAGUAGCGAGUGGUGAGCAAUUGCUUGUGUAUCACUUGUUUUAUAUGCAUUCAUACUCUUGACUACCUAUCUACAUAGUCAUGCAUAUUUUCUUUUCCUCUGUCUUGUAAGUAAUUUUAUCUCAACCCAUGAGUUCUACUUCAUUGCAGUUUUUUUGUUUGUUUGUUUUAAAUUUUCUCACUCAUCCCACUGGGAAGGGGGAGGGGAGUGACUGAACCACCCCACAGUGCUUAGCCACCUGUUGUGUUAAACCACAGCAGUACAGUACUAUUCAAACCUAUAUCCUAGAAAGGUGAAGAGCGGACAGCCACACCAGCUGCUCGGAGCACCUGCUUCAAAUGAUCUUGCUUGCAUGAAUAUCAGAAGAUGAACAUACGAUGUAAGCACUUAUCCACUCAUUGCUUGAUCAUACUUCUUGUUUUGUCUGUGCUACUACUGUAUCAUACACCCAAUUGUACUGGCUUUCUUUCAGGCAAAAUAUCAAACAAUGCCAACAGCAUAUUCAAUACCACAGCACUGCAACACUUUUUUGUUUUUUUCAGUAUUUUCUUUUGUUGUUGUUGUUGUUGGAUUAAACUGCUGGCAAUCUAUGUUAGCAGCUAAGAUUAAAGCAAAGAAGUCUAAGCAAUAGGUGCUCUUACUAGAGACUCAGCCUCACUAAUUAACUUCAGAGUGAAUAGUCUCCAGAUUCUUCAACCUGUGGGAAAUGCAAGUUACUAACUUUUACAGGAAGCAUGAUUUUUUGUUUAAGUAGAUCUGUAAAUGAAGACUUCAUACUGUACCAUAAACCACCCCACUGCAUGACAGAAGUUGUGUUUUGAAAAGAAACAGUCAGAAUUUUGUGCAAAGGACCAGUGUGGAUUCUUUUCUUUUCUAACUCCGACUCAAAAAUGCAUUUUCUCUUAUCACACUUAGCACUGGAGAAGACAGCAGCAUCUGUCAGGCACCUCUUGCUGCCAGAAUUGUAACUUGCCUCCUCUAGUUAGUUAGAGGUCUGUCAGUCAGGAAACAGGGAUGCAAAGAUACCAUCAGGAAGGAAAUGAAAAAGAGGAGCUUUGCUAAAGUAGGAUUUUGCUCUUAGUAAUUAAAAGUAACAAAUUCCAUACUAGCUUAUAGCAAUUUUCCAUCUAAGGACAGGAGUAAAGACAAGGAGAACAAUAGAUGGUACAGUUAACUGCCAAAAAAAAAUUGGAAUACACCCUCCUGUGAAUUGCAAAGUAGGAAAAACUGAGGGAUUAACAGUUUUAACAAGACCAGGUAAACAGAAGACAUCAAGAAGCUGAAGUUAAAAA